rnacentral:rRNA from 1 species
GAUGGACGCUGGCGGCGUGCCUAAUACAUGCAAGUCGAGCGAACGGACGAGAAGCUUGCUUCUCUGAUGUUAGCGGCGGACGGGUGAGUAACACGUGGAUAACCUACCUAUAAGACUGGGAUAACUUCGGGAAACCGGAGCUAAUACCGGAUAAUAUUUUGAACCGCAUGGUUCAAAAGUGAAAGACGGUCUUGCUGUCACUUAUAGAUGGAUCCGCGCUGCAUUAGCUAGUUGGUAAGGUAACGGCUUACCAAGGCAACGAUGCAUAGCCGACCUGAGAGGGUGAUCGGCCACACUGGAACUGAGACACGGUCCAGACUCCUACGGGAGGCAGCAGUAGGGAAUCUUCCGCAAUGGGCGAAAGCCUGACGGAGCAACGCCGCGUGAGUGAUGAAGGUCUUCGGAUCGUAAAACUCUGUUAUUAGGGAAGAACAUAUGUGUAAGUAACUGUGCACAUCUUGACGGUACCUAAUCAGAAAGCCACGGCUAACUACGUGCCAGCAGCCGCGGUAAUACGUAGGUGGCAAGCGUUAUCCGGAAUUAUUGGGCGUAAAGCGCGCGUAGGCGGUUUUUUAAGUCUGAUGUGAAAGCCCACGGCUCAACCGUGGAGGGUCAUUGGAAACUGGAAAACUUGAGUGCAGAAGAGGAAAGUGGAAUUCCAUGUGUAGCGGUGAAAUGCGCAGAGAUAUGGAGGAACACCAGUGGCGAAGGCGACUUUCUGGUCUGUAACUGACGCUGAUGUGCGAAAGCGUGGGGAUCAAACAGGAUUAGAUACCCUGGUAGUCCACGCCGUAAACGAUGAGUGCUAAGUGUUAGGGGGUUUCCGCCCCUUAGUGCUGCAGCUAACGCAUUAAGCACUCCGCCUGGGGAGUACGACCGCAAGGUUGAAACUCAAAGGAAUUGACGGGGACCCGCACAAGCGGUGGAGCAUGUGGUUUAAUUCGAAGCAACGCGAAGAACCUUACCAAAUCUUGACAUCCUUUGACAACUCUAGAGAUAGAGCUUUCCCCUUCGGGGGACAAAGUGACAGGUGGUGCAUGGUUGUCGUCAGCUCGUGUCGUGAGAUGUUGGGUUAAGUCCCGCAACGAGCGCAACCCUUAAGCUUAGUUGCCAUCAUUAAGUUGGGCACUCUAAGUUGACUGCCGGUGACAAACCGGAGGAAGGUGGGGAUGACGUCAAAUCAUCAUGCCCCUUAUGAUUUGGGCUACACACGUGCUACAAUGGACAAUACAAAGGGCAGCGAAACCGUGAGGUCAAGCAAAUCCCAUAAAGUUGUUCUCAGUUCGGAUUGUAGUCUGCAACUCGACUACAUGAAGCUGGAAUCGCUAGUAAUCGUAGAUCAGCAUGCUACGGUGAAUACGUUCCCGGGUCU